GGGUUGUGAGGUUAAGCGACUAAGCGUACACGGUGGAUGCCCUGGCAGUCAGAGGCGAUGAAGGACGUGCUAAUCUGCGAAAAGCGUCGGUAAGGUGAUAUGAACCGUUAUAGCCGGCGAUGUCCGAAUGGGGAAACCCAGUGCAAUUCGUUGCACUAUCGUUAACUGAAUACAUAGGUUAACGAGGCGAACCGGGGGAACUGAAACAUCUAAGUACCCCGAGGAAAAGAAAUCAACCGAGAUUCCCCCAGUAGCGGCGAGCGAACGGGGAGCAGCCCGGAGUCUGAAUCAGCUUGUGUGUUAGUGGAAGCGUCUGGAAAGUCGCAGGGUACAGGGUGAUACUCCCGUACACUAAAACGCACAGGUUGUGAACUCGAAGAGUAGGGCGGGACACGUGGUAUCCUGUCUGAAUAUGGGGGGACCAUCCUCCAAGGCUAAAUACUCCUGACUGACCGAUAGUGAACCAGUACCGUGAGGGAAAGGCGAAAAGAACCCCGGCGAGGGGAGUGAAAAAGAACCUGAAACCGUGUACGUACAAGCAGUAGGAGCCCACUAGUUGGGUGACUGCGUACCUUUUGUAUAAUGGGUCAGCGACUUAUAUUCUGUAGCAAGGUUAACCGUAUAGGGGAGCCGCAGGGAAACCGAGUCUUAACUGGGCGUUAAGUUGCAGGGUAUAGACCCGAAACCCGGUGAUCUAGCCAUGGGCAGGUUGAAGGUUGGGUAACACUAACUGGAGGACCGAACCGACUAAUGUUGAAAAAUUAGCGGAUGACUUGUGGCUGGGGGUGAAAGGCCAAUCAAACCGGGAGAUAGCUGGUUCUCCCCGAAAGCUAUUUAGGUAGCGCCUCGUGAACUCAUCUUCGGGGGUAGAGCACUGUUUCGGCUAGGGGGUCAUCCCGACUUACCAACCCGAUGCAAACUACGAAUACCGAAGAAUGUUAUCACGGGAGACACACGGCGGGUGCUAACGUCCGUCGUGAAGAGGGAAACAACCCAGACCGCCAGCUAAGGUCCCAAAGUCAUGGUUAAGUGGGAAACGAUGUGGGAAGGCCCAGACAGCCAGGAUGUUGGCUUAGAAGCAGCCAUCAUUUAAAGAAAGCGUAAUAGCUCACUGGUCGAGUCGGCCUGCGCGGAAGAUGUAACGGGGCUAAACCAUGCACCGAAGCUGCGGCAGCGACACUAUGUGUUGUUGGGUAGGGGAGCGUUCUGUAAGCCGUUGAAGGUGGCCUGUGAGGGUUGCUGGAGGUAUCAGAAGUGCGAAUGCUGACAUAAGUAACGAUAAUGCGGGUGAAAAACCCGCACGCCGGAAGACCAAGGGUUCCUGUCCAACGUUAAUCGGGGCAGGGUGAGUCGACCCCUAAGGCGAGGCCGAAAGGCGUAGUCGAUGGGAAACAGGUUAAUAUUCCUGUACUCGGUGUUACUGCGAAGGGGGGACGGAGAAGGCUAUGUUGGCCGGGCGACGGUUGUCCCGGUUUAAGCAUGUAGGCGGAUGUUCCAGGUAAAUCCGGAGCGUCACUAACGCUGAGGUGUGAUGACGAGGCACUACGGUGCUGAAGUGACAAAUGCCCUGCUUCCAGGAAAAGCCUCUAAGCAUCAGGUAACAUCAAAUCGUACCCCAAACCGACACAGGUGGUCAGGUAGAGAAUACCAAGGCGCUUGAGAGAACUCGGGUGAAGGAACUAGGCAAAAUGGUGCCGUAACUUCGGGAGAAGGCACGCUGAUGGUAAGUGAAGCGACUUGCUCGUGGAGCUGAAAUCAGUCGAAGAUACCAGCUGGCUGCAACUGUUUAUUAAAAACACAGCACUGUGCAAACACGAAAGUGGACGUAUACGGUGUGACGCCUGCCCGGUGCCGGAAGGUUAAUUGAUGGGGUUAUCCGUAAGGAGAAGCUCUUGAUCGAAGCCCCGGUAAACGGCGGCCGUAACUAUAACGGUCCUAAGGUAGCGAAAUUCCUUGUCGGGUAAGUUCCGACCUGCACGAAUGGCGUAAUGAUGGCCAGGCUGUCUCCACCCGAGACUCAGUGAAAUUGAACUCGCUGUGAAGAUGCAGUGUACCCGCGGCAAGACGGAAAGACCCCGUGAACCUUUACUAUAGCUUGACACUGAACACUGGUCCUUGAUGUGUAGGAUAGGUGGGAGGCUUUGAAGUGUGGACGCCAGUCUGCAUGGAGCCAUCCUUGAAAUACCACCCUUUAAUGGCUGGUGUUCUAACGUGGGCCCCUAAUCGGGGUUGCGGACAGUGUCUGGUGGGUAGUUUGACUGGGGCGGUCUCCUCCUAAAGAGUAACGGAGGAGCACGAAGGUCAGCUAAUCCUGGUCGGACAUCAGGAGGUUAGUGCAAUGGCAUAAGCUGGCUUGACUGCGAGCGUGACGGCGCGAGCAGGUGCGAAAGCAGGUCAUAGUGAUCCGGUGGUUCUGAAUGGAAGGGCCAUCGCUCAACGGAUAAAAGGUACUCCGGGGAUAACAGGCUGAUACCGCCCAAGAGUUCAUAUCGACGGCGGUGUUUGGCACCUCGAUGUCGGCUCAUCACAUCCUGGGGCUGAAGUAGGUCCCAAGGGUAUGGCUGUUCGCCAUUUAAAGUGGUACGCGAGCUGGGUUUAGAACGUCGUGAGACAGUUCGGUCCCUAUCUGCCGUGGGCGCUGGAGAAUUGAGGGGGGCUGCUCCUAGUACGAGAGGACCGGAGUGGACGCAUCACUGGUGUUCGGGUUGUCAUGCCAAUGGCAUUGCCCGGUAGCUAAAUGCGGAAGAGAUAAGUGCUGAAAGCAUCUAAGCACGAAACUUGCCCCGAGAUGAGUUCUCCCUGACUCCUUGAGAGUCCUGAAGGAACGUUGAAGACGACGACGUUGAUAGGCCGGGUGUGUAAGCGCAGCGAUGCGUUGAGCUAACCGGUACUAAUGAACCGUGAGGCUUAACCUUACAACGCCGAAG
rnacentral:rRNA from 1 species